UCUCCGUCGACUGGGUCUCGAAAGGCUAAAAUUCUCCAACAAAAAUGACAAAAUUUCAGUGAUCUAGGUCAAUAACAUUUGAACAAAUUGUAUUCAUAAACUUGUGAAAUGGGGGUGACUUCCUUUUCUAUCUGUGCAGAGCAUGCAAGUGAAAAAUGACGUGAGCGAGAGAAAAUUGGUGUUGAUUUAGCUACUGGUAAGAGAUGAUCAAGCCUGAGGCUGCCAAACCAUGGAUCGAAGAGCAGUCCGAGUGGAGGCAAAAAUUUCGAGUGAAGUGUGAUAGGAGAUCCAAAAUCGUUAAAUGACGGAAUAGAUGGAAGUUUGUUGGAGUGGUGAUACCUUCGAUUGAAGUGCAACCCAAACAUGGUGAGCCGUGGAGAGAGGUCUUAACGGCGGGGAUUUUGAUUUGGGUGAAAUGUAUUCUGUGGGUUGUGGGUGUAGUAUUGGGUCUUAUAAGUGCAGUCGUUUUUUGCUUUUCCAUUUUUAUUAUUAUUUCGAUGCCACCUAAGUUGAGAAAUAGCCUGUAAAUGGAACUGUUC
rnacentral:lncRNA from 1 species